GUGAAAAAACAUUGCAAAACAGAUCAACGGUUAUCUUGACGAAAAAAACAAAAAAAAAAACGGUAAACGCGACAGUAUUACGAUAAGCAAAUUAUGCGCGCAAAUAGCUAAAGCAAAUAAUGACAAUUGACAAACAACUAAGUAAAAAUAAGAGCUGCAAUCGAUCGAUCGCAAUAAUCGAUACAAGUGACGUGAGUAAGCGGAGCGCGUAUUGAAAGAGAACGAAAGUGGCGCCGGCAGCGACAUUGUUAGGCAAUAUUUAUACAUGCCUGCAGAAAAAGUGUACUCGAAGUAAUAAGUAAACUACAAAUGAAUGCAUUUUAUUUUUUCCCCUACAAAUAAAGCUCUCGAAAUUCACCAAACACCAGCAGUAAUCAAAACAUCCCUAGAAAUCAAAAGAGAACAGCCGGAAUAUUUCAUCAAAGUUAGAACGUCAAAAGCCCCAAAAUCAUCAGCCAGACCACCACCACAACCAGCGUCGAAAAUCAACAAUAGCAACAACAAUUGACAAACAGGAACGACGUGAAGUGAAUGCAUUCAGUGCGAUUGGACAACGAAAAGAGAUAAGCCGACAUUGAGCAAAAAAGAGUGCCGUCGUCAACUUACACAGGUCAUAUCAAACAUACAAAAUUUUCAUCAUCACGUCAAGCGUCAAUUUGUGUGCUUCAGACCAGUUUUCCGCAACGCGAAGCUAAGCAUAUCAUUUGAUUGCCAUUGGAUUUGUCCUGCCCGCCGUCGUCCUUUGUCUGAACUUUAAAGCAUACCUAUUCACUCAUACUAGUGGUACGAGCCUAACAGUGUCAACAUAACUAGAGAAACUGUUUUUCGUCGAGCGAAAUUCGUUCAUAACUGACUGGCUUUUACGGCAACAACAACAACAACAAGGAAAUCCAGCAAUUUGUGAAGAUUCGUGGAGUGUUUUUGGCAAUCGCCAGAGACUAAUCUCUAUUAUAAUAUAUACCUAAACAAUACCGUAAUACUUUAUUAUAAGCAACAACAACGAAGCAUUGCACUGCACCAGUAGUAGCGGUGGUGAUCGAAUAAAGUACUCAGAGAAUAAAUUCCAGCGAAUGUGACAACAAUAAAAACAAUAUCAGCAGCGGCAGCAAAAUCAGCGGUCGAAAUAAUUCGAAAAUAGUCAUAAUUGUGUAAAGAAAAAGAUACACAAGUGUGUAUUUAUGUACAACACAGCCAGACGCCCCGCACUACACUGCCCAUCGCACAUUUUGGACCGUCGUUUAUUUGCUCGUUAGUACAUAAUUUACUCGUUGAGGUUUCCCGACGAACGUGUUUAUUAGCACAGCUGUAUCGCUGCAGGUAAUAAACGAAUCGUGAGAGAGAGAGAGAUAGGGAGAUUUGCUAUAGAGAGAGUGACACACAGACUAAAAAAAAAAACAAAAUUUAGUAAAUGAUCGAUUUUAUGAGAGCGUAUUACUCGGUAUGUUAAAUAAUACUAUAUAAGACAAAACUGGUUUCUGUUACAAGAGAAAGGAAAGCAUAAAAAUAGAAAGAAAAAAUAUCGCUUAACAACAACGAAAAACACGGUUGCUAUCUGUGUCCGCAUAUAGAAAAUUCUCUUCCAAACGGUUCAUCAAUUAUUUGAAAAGCAAAGCAAAGCUAUAAAAUUUUCUUUUGUUUUAAGUUGCUUGAUUUGGGUGCAAUUAUUUAGCGUAUUUUUUAACGCUCAAUAUAGAAAAAAGUAAGUGCCUGCAAAAAAGAAGAGCAAACGGCAAACAGAGAGCGAGGGAGUUGCAGAGAGAUCGUGAUUAAUUGAGUGUAAAAGGUCGGAGAGUGAUUGCGUCUCAG